UACGAAGGGGGCUAGCGUUGCUCGGAAUUACUGGGCGUAAAGGGCGCGUAGGCGGACAGUUAAGUUGGGGGUGAAAGCCCGGGGCUCAACCUCGGAAAUGCCUUCAAUACUGGCUGUCUUGAGUACGGGAGAGGUGAGUGGAACUCCGAGUGUAGAGGUGAAAUUCGUAGAUAUUCGGAAGAACACCAGUGGCGAAGGCGACUCACUGGCCCGUUACUGACGCUGAGGCGCGAAAGCGUGGGGAGCAAACAGG
rnacentral:rRNA from 1 species